GAUGUCCCAUUGGUGGAUGAUGCCCCAGCAGUUGAUGAUGUCCCAUUGGUGGAUGAUGCCCCAGCAGUUGAUGAUGUCCCAGCAGUGGAUGAUGCCCCAGGUGUGU